rnacentral:rRNA from 1 species
UACGGGGGGGGCAAGCGUUGUUCGGAAUUACUGGGCGUAAAGGGCUCGUAGGCGGCCAACUAAGUCGGACGUGAAAUCCCCAGGCUCAACCUGGGAACUGCGUCCGAUACUGGAUGGCUUGAAUUCGGGAGAGGGAUGCAGAAUUCCAGGUGUAGCGGUGAAAUGCGUAGAUAUCAGGAAGAACACCGGUGGCGAAAGCGUUCUGCUAGACCUGUACUGACACUGAGGGACGAAAGCUAGGGGAGCGAAUGGG